rnacentral:rRNA from 1 species
UACAGAGGUCUCAAGCGUUGUUCGGAUUCAUUGGGCGUAAAGGGUGUGUAGGCGGUUUUCUAAGUCUGGUGUGAAAUCUCCCGGCUCAACUGGGAGGGUGCGCCGAAAACUGGAAGGCUAGAGUGCGGGAUGGGAGAGUGGAAUUCCUGGUGUAGCGGUGAAAUGCGUAGAUAUCGAGAGGAACACCUGCGGCGAAGGCGGGUUGCUGGGCUGACACUGACGCUGAUGCGCGAAAGCCAGGGGAGCGAACGGG